GAUCCUGGCUCAGAACGAACGCUGGCGGCGCGCCUAAUACAUGCAAGUCGAGCGAGAAGGUGUAGCAAUACACUUGUAAAGCGGCGAACGGGUGAGGAAUGCAUGGGUAACCUACCCUCGAGUGGGGAAUAACUAGCCGAAAGGUUAGCUAAUACCGCAUACGUUUCCGGGACUUCGGUACCGGAAAGAAAGCAAUACCGUGGGUAUUGCGCUCAUGGAUGGGCUCAUGUCCUAUCAGCUUGUUGGUGAGGUAACGGCUCACCAAGGCUUCGACGGGUAGCUGGUCUGAGAGGACGAUCAGCCACACUGGCACUGCGACACGGGCCAGACUCCUACGGGAGGCAGCAGUAAGGAAUAUUGCGCAAUGGACGAAAGUCUGACGCAGCGACGCCGCGUGGGGGAUGAAGGUCUUCGGAUUGUAAACCCCUUUCGGGAGGGAAGAUGGAGUGGGUAACCACUUGGACGGUACCUCCAGAAGCAGCCACGGCUAACUUCGUGCCAGCAGCCGCGGUAAUACGAAGGUGGCAAGCGUUGUUCGGAUUCACUGGGCGUACAGGGAGCGUAGGCGGUUGGGUAAGCCCUCCGUGAAAUCUCCGGGCCUAACCCGGAAAGUGCAGAGGGGACUGCUCAGCUAGAGGAUGGGAGAGGAGCGCGGAAUUCCCGGUGUAGCGGUGAAAUGCGUAGAGAUCGGGAAGAAGGCC
rnacentral:rRNA from 1 species